GCACCAGUGGUGUACGGUACACGCGCCGUUCCUGUGUGAUAUCGUAAUGCGUUUAUCGGCGAGACGGGGUUCGAUUCCCCGCUGGUGCA